AAAUUGAAGAGUUUGAUCAUGGCUCAGAUUGAACGCUGGCGGCAGGCCUAACACAUGCAAGUCGAACGGUAACAGGAAGAAGCUUGCUUCUUUGCUGACGAGUGGCGGACGGGUGAGUAAUGUCUGGGAAACUGCCUGAUGGAGGGGGAUAACUACUGGAAACGGUAGCUAAUACCGCAUAACGUCGCAAGACCAAAGAGGGGGAGCUUCGGGCCUCUUG
rnacentral:rRNA from 1 species